GGGGACGUGGUGUAGCCUGGCUAUCAUCAUGGGCUCCAGACCCAUGGACUCGGGUUCAAAUCCCGCCGUCCCCACCA
rnacentral:tRNA from 2 species